rnacentral:rRNA from 1 species
GUGAGGGGGAGGCAAAUCCCAGAAAUAACGUCCCAGUUCGGAUUGCAGUCUGCAACUCGACUGCAUGAAGCUGGAAUCGCUAGUAAUCGCGGAUCAGAAUGCCGCGGUGAAUACGUUCCCGGGUCUUGUACACACCGCCCGUCACACCAUGGGAGUUGGUAACGCCCGAAGUCAGUGACCUAACCGAGAGGGAGGAGCUGCCUAAGGCGGGACCGAUAACUGGGGUGAAGUCGUAACAAGGUAGC